CGGUCACACUGGUACGGUGGCUAUACCGGAUGUGCCGGAAGGUGAAAGGCUUGCUGCCUGAAAAUGAGCUCGCGUCCGAUUAGCUAGUAGGUGGGGUAAGAGCCUACCUAGGCGACGAUCGGUAGCUGGUCUGAAAGGAUGACCAGCCACACUGGGACUGAAACACGGCCCAUACUCCUACGGGAGGCAGCAGUGGGGAAUUUUCCGCAAUGGGCGAAAGCCUGACGGAGCAAUACCGCGUGAGGGAGGAAGGCUCUUGGGUUGUAAACCUCUUUUCUCAGGGAAAAACACAAUGACGGUACCUGAGGAAUCAGCAUCGGCUAACUCCGUGCCAGCAGCCGCGGUAAUACGGAGGAUGCAAGCGUUAUCCGGAAUGAUUGGGCGUAAA
rnacentral:rRNA from 1 species